CCUACGGGAGGCAGCAGUGAGGAAUAUUGGUCAAUGGGCUUACGCCUGAACCAGCCAAGUCGCGUGAGGGAAGACUGCCCUAUGGGUUGUAAACCUCUUUUGUCAGGGAGCAACGCCGGCUACGUGUAGCCGGACUGAGAGUACCUGCAGAAAAAGCAUCGGCUAACUCCGUGCCAGCAGCCGCGGUAAUACGGAGGAUGCGAGCGUUAUCCGGAUUUCUUGGGUGUAAAGGGUGCGUAGGCGGAAUGCCAAGUCAGCGGUAAAAUCGCGGGGCUCAACCGCGCUCCGCCGUUGAAACUGGCGUGCUUGAGUGGGCGAGAAGUAGGCGGAAUGCGUGGGGGAGCGGUGAAAUGCAUAGGUAUCACGCAGAACUCC
rnacentral:rRNA from 1 species